rnacentral:rRNA from 1 species
AUGAGGAAGAUGGUUGAGAAGAUUGCAGUGAACAUAUCUCCUGGGGAGAUUUCCUACCACGGGGGAGCGGUUCGGCCCGAGCUCUUUUUUAGCAAGCCGAUUGAACUCCGUGCGAAAGAUACAUGCUCCCUAAAUCCCCCCAAACAAGCAACAGCCCCUAAAAGAGCAAGCAUACCAUCCACACCAAUGCUACGGUGUAAUUACACAAGGACUGGCCCACAAGAUUUUUCAAAUUACAUCCGCACAAAAUACCCGAGCAUAUCAGCAGAGAAGCUGGGUAUUCUUCUUCGCGAGCAGAAUGCACGUGGUAUCGCUAAUAUAAUAGAAAUGCGCCAAGCAUUCCAGACAAACAUGUUCACUCUCACAGACAAGCUUAUGGCCUGUCUAGCAGCAAGUUGUACCUGCUGCAAGGCAUUCGGCCGCAAAUCUUGCAUUUUGAAUGGUGAAGGCACAACCAACUGUCAACCACAUCCUACAACAUCAACAGACCAAAACCAAUUCAGCACUCCUUUAGUAAGCAAGGUUGGGCCAUGCUUGCCUGCACCAGGCCACCAUGAAGGAGCCAUGUCAGCUACCAGCACAGCAUCUAGAAAAAGGGAAGGAAGUAUAUCAUCUAGUGUGCACUCUGGGUUAGCAAAGAAGCAAUGCUCACGCGAUGAGAUUGACAAGCAAACCCAGAUGGCCAUAGCACAGGAUUCGUCGGUUAUGGAGAUUGCUAGCACGAUUGCCAGUAUGUAUGAUGAUCUAACGGCCAUUCUUGUAACAUAUUAUGCUGAGAUCCGGCCAUCUCCUGAGUGCAUCUUGUUUGGAUCAACUACGGAAGGCGCACCUUUGCAAAUUGACCUUCCUAAAUGCAAUUUCGGCAGAGACCCAUGGGUUGUUGGUACAGUAAAUGCACCACCACCCGAGAACAAUCUCGGAGCUAUAAGAGACUGGAUGGCAGCAGCUUCUACCUUAAAUCUUCAGAGGCCAUGGGUUGUACACCCCAAACCUCGUUUCAUCUCAGUGGAUGGCAUAGAUAUUCAGCAACAGCUUGUGGCACACGAGAAAAUGUCCCAUGAAAUUUGUACUUCCAUCUUCCGUAGGCUUGCCCAACUUGACAUGUCCUUCUCAAAAGACACUCCUGGUAUGAUAUGGAGGAAAUACAUCGAGCCCAAUUUUGCGACAACUGUUCUGUCCAAUGCCGACCCACUAACUGUGCACUCCAUCAGGGCUAGCUUCCAGGAGGGAACCGCCUCUUGCAACCCAGCAUCAUGCCGCAUGUGGAUUAUUCCAGCUAUUCUCCCAGAUGGCUGGGUGGUUUAUGCAUUUGACAUGCUGCGCAAGCGAAUCGUCGUUUAUGACCCUGCAGUUGGCCCAUUCGGAUACAGUAAUCGCCGAGUCAGCAUCCAUGAAUUUGUGAGCAACAAACUUCAUGCUGCUCUGUUCAACUGCCUCUACAGUUUUUUCAGUUCAGGGCAUUGUGAAUCAACUCACUGGACACGUACAUUUCCAAUCAUAAUGAGAGAACAAUUUCACAAGGACGAAGCCGGAUUGUGUGCCACUUUUUUUUCAAGGAACUACGACGGUGACAAGUUGCAAAUCCCACUCACGAAAGAAACACUCGUAUCGCACAACAACCUCAUGUUGUACGAGCUGAUGAGGAUGCAAGGAAAUCAAACAAAAGCUGCCAGCGACUCGCUCGAAGCAAUUAAAGGGCCGUUUGUCAUUCUGUAG